AAUAUUUAUCUUCGGAUACGAUUCAUUGUAUCAACAAUAUCGUUGUGGAAAUUUAAGACUGACGCAAUAAACACUACCUGGAGUGCUGCGUUGUCGCAACUUGUUUAGACGCAACGUAAACAGUUUGUUUCUCAAUCGAUCAGUGGCUUGACACGCGCAUCGCAAAUCGGUUUUUUGAAUUUCAAGUCAUUCCUCGUUAUCGUGGACCAAUUGCGGGCUGUAGUUCUCAGUGCUACGAACUUGCGUCAUUUCGUUUGCGUAAUUAGUAAAAAUUCUGAAGCACGAUUCAUCCCAUUGACGCACAAUACGAUGAAAGAGGAAAACGAGUAACGAACGGUGUGAAAGACCAAGCAGUUCCUGUUUCAAGGCUCAUGCUGUUUCUCAUCUACGAAACGACAUAAUAGUUGGAAAUCCACGAAAUACUUCCAACUUUCCGAAACCUUGAAGAAGAAAGCACCUUUCGAAAGAAAAAGGGAAGAAAUCGAUUAGAACCGGCACAGUGGCAAUAUUUUCAUAACACCGCAGCGCCUACUCUCCCGGAAGGCAUUUGUUAGCAUCACCGGAAGUGGAGGACGUAUAUCAGGGGUCACAUUGGAAAAGGAAAAGGACAGAAACGGAAAUUACAUACUAUUUCAAUAUGAAACCAACGUGUGAUGUGUAAACCUGCAUAAAGAAGCUUUCUCUUUAAUCUAUAAAAGGGUGCAUAUCGGCCAACAUGAUGAAUUGAAGAGAAAUUGUGUAGGUUGAAUAUUCGCAAGUAGGUCGAGAAGUUCAUUAGAAUUCUAUAAAGUACCAUUACAUUUUUUUCACAAGAGAGAACAGUAAUUUUCUACUUAUUUUAAUAUGAUCUUCCGACAGUAUACCGAACGAUUCUAUAGAUAAUACUUUUUUAAUUUACUUUAAUUUAGUUUAAUUUAUGUGUCAGGAGAAGCACGAAUCUUUUUGGCUCAUUAGCGAGACUACUGUAUUGCAUUCCAUAGUUCAAUUAUAGAUGCAAAGAAAUUUUCUUGUGUUUCUAUUUUCCUUGAUUUUCAUAUAAUAGCUUUUAUUAGCCUUAACUUGAUACUUUUUAACCGAAAAAAUUAUCUUAAAAUCAUAAAUUACAAGGUCUAUUAUUCUAAAUAAA
rnacentral:lncRNA from 1 species